rnacentral:piRNA from 1 species
AAGAGAUUAACUUCCCCAAAUACUUGUGCCU